UACGAAGGGUGCAAGCGUUACUCGGAAUUACUGGGCGUAAAGCGUGCGUAGGUGGUUUGUUAAGUCUGUUGUGAAAGCCCCGGGCUCAACCUGGGAAUGGCAAUGGAUACUGGCAAGCUAGAGUGCGGUAGAGGGUAGUGGAAUUCCCGGUGUAGCGGUGAAAUGCGUAGAGAUCGGGAGGAACACCAGUGGCGAAGGCGGCUACCUGGACCAGCACCGACGUCCAGGCACGAAAGCGUGGGGAGCAAACAGG
rnacentral:rRNA from 1 species